GAUGAACGCUGGCGGCGUGCCUAAUACAUGCAAGUCGAGCGAACAGACGAGGAGCUUGCUCCUCUGACGUUAGCGGCGGACGGGUGAGUAACACGUGGAUAACCUACCUAUAAGACUGGGAUAACUUCGGGAAACCGGAGCUAAUACCGGAUAAUAUAUUGAACCGCAUGGUUCAAUAGUGAAAGACGGUUUUGCUGUCACUUAUAGAUGGAUCCGCGCCGCAUUAGCUAGUUGGUAAGGUAACGGCUUACCAAGGCGACGAUGCGUAGCCGACCUGAGAGGGUGAUCGGCCACACUGGAACUGAGACACGGUCCAGACUCCUACGGGAGGCAGCAGUAGGGAAUCUUCCGUAAUGGGCGAAAGCCUGACGGAGCAACGCCGCGUGAGUGAUGAAGGUCUUCGGAUCGUAAAACUCUGUUAUUAGGGAAGAACAAAUGUGUAAGUAACUAUGCACGCCUUGACGGUACCUAAUCAGAAAGCCACGGCUAACUACGUG
rnacentral:rRNA from 1 species